rnacentral:rRNA from 1 species
AUUGAACGCUGGCGGCAUGCUUUACACAUGCAAGUCGAACGGUAACAGCACUUCGGUGGCUGACGAGUGGCGCACGGGUGCGUAAUACAUCGGAACGUGCCCAGUAGUGGGGGAUAACUACUCGAAAGAGUAGCUCAUACCGCAUGAGAUCUAAGGAUGAAAGCAGGGGACCUUCGGGCCUUGCGCUACUAUUGCGGCUGAUGGCAGAUUAGGUAGUUGGUGGGAUAAAAGCUUACCAAGCCGACGAUCUGUAGCUGGUCUGAGAGGACGACCAGCCACACUGGGACUGAGACACGGCCCAGACUCCUACGGGAGGCAGCAGUGGGGAAUUUUGGACAAUGGGCGCAAGCCUGAUCCAGCAAUGCCGCGUGCAGGAUGAAGGCCUUCGGGUUGUAAACUGCUUUUGUACGGAACGAAAAGCCCUCUUCUAAUACAGGAGGGUCAUGACGGUACCGUAAGAAUAAGCACCGGCUAACUACGUG